GGCAGUGGUAGCUCAGUAGUUAAGGUGUUAGUCUACUGCUCAGAAGGUCAAGAGUUCAAACCCCAGCAAUGCCA